GUUUUUUAGUGGCACAGUUGGAGUCACUACCAGUGCUGUGUUUGACUACGUAUGUAACCACAGUAAUGGUAUGAACUCAGAUGUGCUACAGAAAU
ensembl:miRNA